AGUGAACGCUGGCGGUAGGCCUAACACAUGCAAGUCGAACGGCAGCACAGUAAGAGCUUGCUCUUACGGGUGGCGAGUGGCGGACGGGUGAGGAAUACAUCGGAAUCUACUUUUUCGUGGGGGAUAACGUAGGGAAACUUACGCUAAUACCGCAUACGACCUACGGGUGAAAGCGGGGGAUCUUCGGACCUUGCGCGAUUGAAUGAGCCGAUGUCGGAUUAGCUAGUUGGCGGGGUAAAGGCCCACCAAGGCGACGAUCCGUAGCUGGUCUGAGAGGAUGAUCAGCCACACUGGAACUGAGACACGGUCCAGACUCCUACGGGAGGCAGCAGUGGGGAAUAUUGGGCAAUGGGCGCAAGCCUGAUCCAGCCAUACCGCGUGAGUGAAGAAGGCCUUCGGGUUGUAAAGCCCUUUUGUUGGGAAAGAAAAGAAGCAGGUUAAUACCCCGCUGUUCUGACGGUACCCAAAGAAUAAGCACCGGCUAACUACGUG
rnacentral:rRNA from 1 species